rnacentral:rRNA from 1 species
UACGGGGGAUGCAAGCGUUAUCCGGAUUUAUUGGGUUUAAAGGGUGCGCAGGCGGAAUGUCAAGUCAGCGGUAAAAUUUCGGGGCUCAACCCCGUCGUGCCGUUGAAACUGGCGUUCUUGAGUGAGCGAGAAGUAUGCGGAAUGCGUGGUGUAGCGGUGAAAUGCUUAGAUAUCACGAAGAACUCCGAUUGCGAAGGCAGCCUGCUGGACUGUAACUGACGCUGAGGCUCGAAAGCAUGGGUAGCGAACAGG